AUUGAACGCUGGCGGCAGGCCUAACACAUGCAAGUCGAACGGUAGCACAGAGAGCUUGCUCUCGGGUGACGAGUGGCGGACGGGUGAGUAAUGUCUGGGAAACUGCCUGAUGGAGGGGGAUAACUACUGGAAACGGUAGCUAAUACCGCAUAACGUCGCAAGACCAAAGAGGGGACCUUCGGGCCUCUUGCCAUCAGAUGUGCCCAGAUGGGAUUAGCUAGUAGGCGGGGUAAUGGCCCACCUAGGCGACGAUCCCUAGCUGGUCUGAGAGGAUGACCAGCCACACUGGAACUGAGACACGGUCCAGACACCUACGGGUGGCUG
rnacentral:rRNA from 1 species